rnacentral:rRNA from 1 species
ACUUCUACGGGAGGCAGCAGUGGGGAAUAUUGCACAAUGGGGGAAACCCUGAUGCAGCCAUGCCGCGUGUGUGAAGAAGGCCUUCGGGUUGUAAAGCACUUUCAGUAGGGAGGAAGGUAGUGUAGUUAACACCUGCAUUAUUUGACGUUACCUACAGAAGAAGCACCGGCUAACUCCGUGCCAGCAGCCGCGGUAAUACGGAGGGUGCGAGCGUUAAUCGGAAUUACUGGGCGUAAAGCGCAUGCAGGCGGCCUGUUAAGUCAGAUGUGAAAGCCCGGGGCUUAACCUCGGAAUUGCAUUUGAAACUGGCAGGCUAGAGUCUUGUAGAGGGGGGUAGAAUUUCAGGUGUAGCGGUGAAAUGCGUAGAGAUCUGAAGGAAUACCAGUGGCGAAGGCGGCCCCCUGGACAAAGACUGACGCUCAGAUGCGAAAGCGUGGGGGAGCAAAAC